ensembl:lncRNA
UUGAAAUUUAUUUAUUUUAAUUGGAGGCUAAUUACUUUACAAUAUUGUAUUGGUUUUGCCAUACAUCAACAUGAAUCAGAGGUGAUUUUUAAAAUCACAGAUGAGUAAAUUAGCCAGGCAAGCCCUGGCAGGCCACGGGAGUGAGGAACAUCGCUGAGAAGGGAGUCCGUGGAAUUCUCUUGGAGCGUGCCAGGAGAGAGGGGAUGAGAUUAGGGAGAGCACCGGGGUCAGAAUUUGAGGGGCCUUGAAACCACGCAAGGGGAUGGCCCCUCUGCCGGCCAUCAGGAGCCACCCAAAGAUUCUACACUGGGAAGAAGGCGAUCAGAGUCGCGUGGACCUCGGGUCGCUGCAUCCCGGCGUGGAUUUGCGGUGCUCCGAUUCUGAGACCGGGAGGACCGGGGACCACGGCCUGGCCUCAGGCAGCUGCAAAAGGAACGGAGUAAAAGGCCUGAGGAAAAGGUCGUAAAAGAGGUUAAAAUCUUCAGCCUUUGUCAGCAUUAGGAGGGUGAAGGACGCUAACGGGGGACACGAAGGCCAUCCCGACCUUUGCACCCAACAAAGCAGGGCCUAGGGAUGGGGGUCGUGGCUCGACGCCGGGCGGAUGUCAGCCCACGAGAAGCCCGCGGGGUGCGCCGGCCCGGACCCCGGGGUUCCCGGGAGAAGCCCUCCCUGUGCGCGAGCCCGGACCCCGGCGUCCCCGGGAGAAAAGCCCGCCCGCUGCGCCGGCCCGGGUCCCGGCGUCCCGGGGAGAAAAGCCCGCCGGGUGCGUGGGCCCGGGUCCCGGCGUCCCGGGGAGAAAAGCCCGCCCGCUGCGCCGGCCCGGGUCCCGGCAUUCCCGGGGGAGCGGCCGCGCCGCCGCGCGUGGAUGGAGAGCCCGGGACGCGGCCUCCGCUCCUGCACGGCUCGCGGGUAACACGACUGAUGGGGAAUCCGGGCGAGGGCGGCUUCCUUCGCCUUCCGCCCCGCCUCGCGUCAGUUUAGGCUAGUGAGAAUUCCUCAGUAUCAAAUUCUCAUCAAGUCUGACAGAAUUGGGAUAUCCUAAACCUACAUUUCCAAAGAGGACAUAACAAUACUUGUGGAAUAUGAGGUAUUGAUAUUUCUUGCAAAGUUGAAAGCCUUCUUUACCAAAUAUGAUGGAACCAAAAAUAUAAUGCAGCCAUGGCUAAGAAAAAUCACUCCCUGUGAUUAAAUUUUACUGAGUAUGAACAAUUUUUUUUCUUGAUAUAGACUCAACUGUACUUUUUU